rfam:Candidate division WWE3 bacterium RIFCSPLOWO2_12_FTLL_36_10 rifcsplowo2_12_scaffold_32945, whole genome shotgun sequence.
CGGGGUGUAGCUCAGUUGGCAGAGUGCGCGCUUUGGGAGCGUGAGGUCGGAGGUUCGAGUCCUCCCACCCCGA